UUCUAAAACUACCUUAAGAAUGUACCAUAUGCACAGAUAAAUCUUACAAAAUUGAAGUUGAGUUCAAGGUAGUCUUUAUAAAGCCCGUGCUUAAGGAUUUGUGCUCAUGCUUAAGAAUUUUACUUCGGAAAUGUUCGGGAUUCCCUAGAAAUAAGAUUAAUCUGGCCAAUGACAUUUACAAUGUACGAGCAAAACAGGAAGAGAACAUGUGACAAAUAAAUAGUAUAUAUACAUAUAUUUUAGUAUCUUAAUUCUAAUAAAAGAAACACAAUGUCCAAUAAAAGAAUAGUAUAUUCCGAUCUUGACAAACAAGUAUUUUUGGAGAUUUUAAAAAAAUAUAAACAUGUUAUCGAAGCAAAAGGUGCAAGCUCCUCCUCAUUAAAAGAAAAAUCAGAGGCUUGGGCACUAAUUAUGGAAGAAUACAAUAAUUCUUCUUUAAUUUCUACUAAG